ACGGUGCAAUCUCGAAGAAAGCACCUGUUCUCAUUCGAUCACCGAAGUUAAGCAUCGUAGAGCCAGGUCAGUACUUAGAUGGGGUUCCGCUUUGGAACACCUGUUACUGUAA